rnacentral:rRNA from 1 species
AGGGAACCCUGAUGCAGCCAUGCCGCGUGUGUGAAGAAGGCCUUCGGGUUGUAAAGCACUUUCAGUAGGGAGGAAGGUAGUGUAGUUAACACCUGCAUUAUUUGACGUUACCUACAGAAGAAGCACCGGCUAACUCCGUGCCAGCAGCCGCGGUAAUACGGAGGGUGCGAGCGUUAAUCGGAAUUACUGGGCGUAAAGCGCAUGCAGGCGGCCUAGUUAAGUCAGAUGUAGAAACGGCCCCGGGGACCUUUAACCCGUACGGUAAAUUGCUAUUUAGAAACUGGCAGGCUAGAGUCUGUAGGAGGGGGUAGUAAUUCAGGUGUAGCGGUGAAAUGCGUAGAGAUCUGAAGGAAUACCCGGUGGCGAAGGACGGCCCCCUCCGGACGAGAAUACUGACACUCAGAUGCGAAAGCGUGGGGAGCAAACAGGAUUAGAUACCCUGGUAG